rnacentral:rRNA from 1 species
UACGAAGGGGGCUAGCGUUGCUCGGAAUUACUGGGCGUAAAGGGAGCGUAGGCGGAUAGUUUAGUCAGAGGUGAAAGCCCAGGGCUCAACCUUGGAAUUGCCUUUGAUACUGGCUAUCUUGAGUACGGAAGAGGUAUGUGGAACUCCGAGUGUAGAGGUGAAAUUCGUAGAUAUUCGCAAGAACACCAGUGGCGAAGGCGGCUCACUGGUCCGGUACUGACGCUGAGGUGCGAAAGCGUGGGGAGCAAACAGG